GUCCACGCCCUAAACGAUGUCAACUAGGUGUUGGGAGGGUAAACCUUUAGUACCGUAGCUAACGCGAGAAGUUGACCGCCUGGGGAGUACGGCCGCAAGGUUAAACUCAAAGGAAUUGACGGGGACCCGCACAAGCGGUGGAUGAUGUGGAUUAAUUCGAUGCAACGCGAAAACCUUACCUACCCUUGACAUGUCAGGAACUUGCCAGAGAUGGCUUGGUGCCCGAAAGGGAACCUGAACACAGGUGCUGCAUGGCUGUCGU
rnacentral:rRNA from 1 species